UGCUGCUACAGCAACUUCACCCACAGCUACCAUGACUUUGAUCCCCGUCUUCAUCUGGACUCUGAUCCUCUGGACUCAAGAGUGCAGAGGUCAAGUCACAGUAACUCAGACUCCUGCAGUGAAAUCUGCUCGUCCAGGAGAAACAGUCACCAUCAACUGUAGAACCAGUCAGGCAGUGUAUUAUUACAGCUCAAACGGCCACUACUUAUACUGGUAUCAGCAGAAACCUGGAGAAGCUCCUAAACUCCUGAUCAAAUUUGCAAAUCAGCUACAGUCAGGUUUUCCAGCUCGUUUCAGUGGCAGUGGAUCUGGAUCUGAUUUCACUCUGACCAUCAGUGGAGUCCAGACUGAAGAUGCAGCAGAUUACUACUGUCAGAGUUACCAUAGCAUCAGUAGUAAAGCUGUGUUCACACAGUGUUAUAGAGUCGUACAAAAACCUGUAACUUCCUGAGAACUCCUGUGCCUUGAAUCAGUCAGUUUCUAUAACAGUUGGUGGAAGUUUCCUCCAAGGUUUAACCUCGAAAUCUUCAGUUAAUCCAAAUGACAGAAUCAACAAUCACCUCUGGCCUAAACUACAGUCAUAUACUCACUCACUAUGGAAGCAAAUCAGUCUCAUAAAUAAUUCACACAAAAGACACGAUGCACACAUACGUAUACCAAUUCACA